rnacentral:lncRNA from 10 species
GUGAGGUAUCCUCAGAACUAUGUGUGAUGGUACCCCUCUGGAGGCUGAGAUAGAAAGUUCCUUAAUGAUGGAGACUAACAAUCUUUAGCAGCAAAGGAAGAGACUGGGCGUUUUAUACAUAUAUGGUCAUGAUUUGGAGACUUGUGAGGAAGGCCAAAGUGGAUUGGCUGUGGUCUCGGUGUAGCACGAUGGAAUCUGGUGGCUUAAACCUAGCUGUCCACAUUUCACUAUCUGAAGAGCAGAAAAUGUGUUAAUAGGAGCCUGGUGAGUGGAGGAGACUGAAGAUGGAGAGAGAGCCUGGACCUCAACAUGAGCAUCUGGAGCCAUUUGGCAGCAUUAGGCUGUGACCGCUUAGAGAACCGAAAGGUGCAGAGCUUUAAAGGAUUAUGGAGUCUGAAGACCAAAUGGGAUGAUGGAGAACAGCUAUUCAGUGGUACAAAUGUAAAUGCUCCCAGGCCCGGGCAGAAAAGAGAAAACAUUUCCAUGGAAGAGGAAACAGGAAAUUCCAACAGAUCAGCAACAGUUGGAGUGCUAACCUGUCACUGGAAUGGGAAAAAAAAUGCUGUCGUUGACACAUCUUUUCCUUGUUUUUGACACAAAUUAGAAACACCACCUGGAACACAGCUGUGACUUGAUAAACAAGUGAAACAUUCUUUGGUGUGGUGAGGGGAAAACAAAUUUCUCAAAGGACACGCACCAUGGUGUAUGAGAGGACACUGGAGCCCAGCCAGCAUCUGACAUGCUGAAUUCAAAGUGCAGAAGACAGAGAUGAAGAAAAGAAGGAAGUGGAGGCAAUGAGGAAAGGAGGGAAGAAGGAAGGAAGGAAAUCAUGCUUGAAAGAAGUUGUGGAACAUGUCAAGUUUUUUUCCGGAUGUGGCGGAGAUUAUGCAGCUACAAUGAAGCCAGAUUAAGAUUUCAGGAAAAUGGACAGAUCUCUACAAUGUUCUCCAAAGAGAUUGUUUUGCUUGCCAAUAAAAAGAGACACCUGGGAGCACCAUACUCUCUCCUGUUCCUCUGGGUAUCAUAUUUCCUUAUGACACCUGAAACUCUGAUGCCUUCUGGGUCCAUGAAAGCAGUGAGAUGAGCACAGGAAACCACGCUGAGGAUGGUUGAGCAAAAAGGUGACAUUGAGCCACUGGAUUAACCUGCCCAGAAACAGGAUAUCUUCAGAUUUCUUGUUAAGUAAGAAAAUGUAAUUUUGUUGAUUCUAAGUUACACUUUCUUUUGUUAGUUCAACAUCUCUGAAAUCAGAACAUAUUUUGCCAUGGUAAUAUCUUACCAUCACUGUAAUAUGUAAUAUCCUUACAUAGGUGUCAUUGCCUAUGCAUGUGUCAACUUGAUUGCUAUUCUCUGUGAUAUGACUGACAACUGCAGCCCUUUGACAGUUCAGUCGACAAACCAUUGAAGAUUAUUAGGGUAAGAAAUACUGCUUUCUGUCUGAAAACUUUCCAAUGACAUCUUCUGAAAAGACAAAGAAAGUAUCAGCAUCAAAAUUUGCGUAAUAGGCCGGGCGCGGUGGCUCACGCCUGUAAUCCCAGCACUUUGGGAGGCCGAGGCGGGCGGAUCACGAGGUCAGGAGAUCGAGACCAU